rnacentral:rRNA from 1 species
UACAGAGGUCCCAAGCGUUGUUCGGAUUCACUGGGCGUAAAGGGUGCGUAGGCGGUCGGGUAAGUCUGAUGUGAAAUCUCACAGCUUAACUGUGAAACUGCAUUGGAUACUAUCCGACUCGAGGAAUGGAGGGGAGACUGGAAUUCUCGGUGUAGCAGUGAAAUGUGUAGAUAUCGAGAGGAACACCAGUGGCGAAGGCGAGUCUCUGGACAUUUCCUGACGCUGAGGCACGAAAGCCAGGGGAGCAAACGGG